rnacentral:rRNA from 1 species
GAUGAACGCUGGCGGCGUGCCUAAUACAUGCAAGUCGAGCGAACAGAUAAGGAGCUUGCUCCUUUGACGUUAGCGGCGGACGGGUGAGUAACACGUGGGUAACCUACCUAUAAGACUGAGAUAACUUCGGGAAACCGGAGCUAAUACCGGAUAACAUUUGGAACCGCAUGGUUCUAAAGUGAAAGAUGGUUUUGCUAUCACUUAUAGAUGGACCCGCGCCGUAUUAGCUAGUUGGUAAGGUAACGGCUUACCAAGGCAACGAUACGUAGCCGACCUGAGAGGGUGAUCGGCCACACUGGAACUGAGACACGGUCCAGACUCCUACGGGAGGCAGCAGUAGGGAAUCUUCCGCAAUGGGCGAAAGCCUGACGGAGCAACGCCGCGUGAGUGAUGAAGGGUUUCGGCUCGUAAAACUCUGUUAUUAGGGAAGAACAAACGUGUAAGUAACUGUGCACGUCUUGACGGUACCUAAUCAGAAAGCCACGGCUAACUACGUG